UACGGGGGGGGCAAGCGUUGUUCGGAAUUACUGGGCGUAAAGGGCUUGUAGGUGGCCAACUAAGUCAGACGUGAAAUCCCUCAGCUUAACUGGGGAACUGCUUCUGAUACUGGAUGGCUUGAGUUUGGGAGAGGGAUGCGGAAUUCCAGGUGUAGCGGUGAAAUGCGUAGAUAUCUGGAGGAACACCGGUGGCGAAGGCGGCUCACUGGCCCGUAACUGACGCUCAUGCACGACAGCGUGGGGAUCAAACAGG
rnacentral:rRNA from 1 species